rnacentral:rRNA from 1 species
UACACUCCUACGGGAGGCAGCAGUGGGGAAUAUUGCACAAUGGGCGGAAGCCUGAUGCAGCAACGCCGCGUGCGGGAUGACGGCCUUCGGGUUGUAAACCGCUUUCGCCUGUGACGAAGCGUGAGUGACGGUAAUGGGUAAAGAAGCACCGGCUAACUACGUGCCAGCAGCCGCGGUGAUACGUAGGGUGCGAGCGUUGUCCGGAUUUAUUGGGCGUAAAGGGCUCGUAGGUGGUUGAUCGCGUCGGAAGUGUAAUCUUGGGGCUUAACCCUGAGCGUGCUUUCGAUACGGGUUGACUUGAGGAAGGUAGGGGAGAAUGGAAUUCCUGGUGGAGCGGUGGAAUGCGCAGAUAUCAGGAGGAACACCAGUGGCGAAGGCGGUUCUCUGGGCCUUUCCUGACGCUGAGGAGCGAAAGCGUGGGGAGCGAACAGGCUUAGAUACCCUAGUAGUCCCAUGA